rnacentral:rRNA from 1 species
AUGCGUUGUUGGGUAGGGGAGCGUUCUGUAAGCCUGCGAAGGUGUGCUGUGAGGCAUGCUGGAGGUAUCAGAAGUGCGAAUGCUGACAUAAGUAACGAUAAAGCGGGUGAAAAGCCCGCUCGCCGGAAGACCAAGGGUUCCUGUCCAACGUUAAUCGGGGCAGGGUGAGUCGACCCCUAAGGCGAGGCCGAAAGGCGUAGUCGAUGGGAAACAGGUUAAUAUUCCUGUACUUGGUGUUACUGCGAAGGGGGGACGGAGAAGGCUAUGUUGGCCGGGCGACGGUUGUCCCGGUUUAAGCGUGUAGGCUGGUUUUCCAGGCAAAUCCGGAAAAUCAAGGCUGAGGCGUGAUGACGAGGCACUACGGUGCUGAAGCAACAAAUGCCCUGCUUCCAGGAA